UGGCUGGCCUGCACCUGCUCAUUGGGCUGUUUCAAAAUAGACAAAGGAGUUAAAGUGAAGCCAAGAAAGUCGUUUACUCUUAAGGCUACUAAAGCAACAGGAAUAAGAAGACGUCACCUGUCCCAUCUUAAUAUACAUGGCCAAUGCAAGAAGAUGAGCAAGCUUGGAUGGGUUAUAUCUCAAGAAGUUAGUUUAUCCUUAUGAUGUUAGUUUUAUUUUGGUUAAGACUUAGGUAUACUUUCGAUGUUAAUUAGUAUAAUGAUUGGUAUGAUGUUAUGUAAACAUUGUUCAAAAUUUAUGAAAUAUUAAAGUUUUUCUAUCCAAUUAAAUAAAUUCUAAAAACAGGAUUCAAAUAUAAGAAUUAUAUAAAUCAAAUUGUAAGAAAAAAUUGGAAAAAUUCAUAAAUUGUUAUGAACAACUAAAUAAUGGCAUUAAAUUAUUGCUAUGAAAAAGUAAAUAAUAACACUAAUAAAGUGCUAUUGUAUAUGAAGAUACUAUAGCAGACAAAAUUAAUGCUAUCGUAGGUGGGGCAUCUACCAUAGCUGCCGAGAUCAUAGCAGUUGUAAUUUCGCUAUGUAUUACCUACGAUAGCAGUUUUUCCGCGCUAUCAAUAUACGUUUUUCU